UAGGUUGACAGUAAACUGUGUGAUGCCCAGGCCGGUUACGAAUCUCUGCUUUCAGCGUUUCCCUCUGCAUUGGCAGGUGCCAAUCUGAUCUAUGGGACUG
rfam:Desulfobacteraceae bacterium 4572_123 ex4572_123_scaffold_3817, whole genome shotgun sequence.